rnacentral:rRNA from 1 species
AACAGAAAGUCACGGCUAACUACGUGCCAGCAGCCGCGGUAAUACGUAGGUGGCAAGCGUUAUCCGGAUUUAUUGGGCGCAAAGAGAGUGCAGGCGGUUUUUCUUAAGUCUGAUGUGAAAGCCUUCGGCUUAACCGGAGAAGUGCAUCGGAAACUGGAUAACUUGAGUGCAGAAGAGGGUAGUGGAACUCCAUGUGUAGCGGUGGAAUGCGUAGAUAUAUGGAAGAACACCAGUGGCGAAGGCGGCUACCUGGUCUGCAACUGACGCUGAGACUCGAAAGCAUGGGUAGCGAACAGGAUUAGAUACCCUGGUAG